GGCCUGACCACCAUACUGAUUGGUCGCACUUAGUGUGAGCUCUCGGCAAAAUUAUAGAACCGAGCAAAUAAAUUGACUCAACAUUCAAGUAAACUUGACAACUCCUGUUUUUGAGGCGUUUGGUGAUCUUACCCCGAAGCAUCUCUAAGGCCUACCUGUGGGGGCAGCUUGGGAGAAACGGACGAUCUCCCUGCUGAUCAUCCUGCCAGGACGUGGAGAGGUGGAAGGGUUCCCCGUUCCCCCCCCUGCCAGUGAGGGACAUCCAGGCACUUGCUCUUUGACACAUCAAACUAAAGGGGCCUCUGUGAUCCUGCAAAAGCCCUGGCACUCUGAGGCAUUCCCAACAGCCACAGCUAAAAUGGCAGACGCGCCAUGCGAUGGCAGACUGGAGCCAUCUAUCAGGCGCCAGGACAAAAUAUUUGCCAACUAUUGGCUCAAACUCACUGACAGCCACAAGCAACGUGAGGAGAGGAAGCAGGGCGAUGGCUCACUGCAAGUCUCACCUCCUGAUACUCACGACCCACGCCUAAUCUCGUCAGGCAAAUAAUCUCCGCACUGCGCUACUCGCACCUGCGGAGGCGACCCGAUCGACCCCCUGGCACUUACCGGAGCCACAAGGUGACCAAAAGUUAAUCACCGCAAUCCCGAGCAGAGUACCGCGAGGGGGAGCUCCCGGGUGCAUAUAUCUCACCUCCGGAGGGAGAAACUUCAAGACCAAGCUAACACUAAACCGCACUGGAACACCGGUAACGGAGCUACACACAGCCGGACCAGCAGGAACCGACAACGUGCUCCCACUCAAGCCUGGGGCAGACUGAGUGGCCAGUUCUGGGUCACUGGGACUUUCACUAACCAAGGAGGUCAGAAGCCAAGUCUGGGGAUAGGGUGAACUGCCCACAUUUAACUACCUGUGGUGUGCUUUUUAGUUAUUGCCUUGCUUUUAUUUCACUGACUGAUAUGUAUCAACCCUUGCCUGGAUUGCUCCUGCUAUGUUUCCUUCUCACUUAACUACCUUUGCAGUGCUGAUGGUAUCUAGUGGUCAUGGCGCUCUGUCCUCUAUGAGCCGCCGAGCAUAUUAUUAUAUUCUGUUUAAUAAUCAUCUCAGCUUAGGAAAUUGAUAGCAACACGUUGUUAAGUACCUGCAGUUCCUUUCUCUACUUAUCAAUUCUUGAGUUUGAGUCACUGACUUACUUCCUUAUCUAUAAAAUGCUUUUGAUUGUAUUUACAUGUGUUGAAAAUAUAUCCCGUAUUCUACUUAUGAUGAAUAUUAUACCUCUGUGCAGGUUGACCUCU